ACCGACCCUACCGCGUAACACUCCCCUUCCCACACAAUCAAUCAAUCAGGGUAUACUACAAACCGUAAAAUGGCCGUUUCGUCUCUUCUUCCUACGACACACCCACUGUCACUCUCAACACUACCACCAUAUUCAACUUCAACCAAAAUCGAUAAUAAUAAUAAUAAUAUUCGUCGCCUUUCAUUUUCACCCAUCGCGUACCCUAAACUCUCCCAUUCAAAUUCAACCGCAUUACUUCCCGUCAAAUCGUCUAAGUACAACGCACAAAUCCUAUUCGAAGAAGACGAGCCUGUCAAAUCGUCUAGGUACAACGUACAAAUCCUACCCGAAGAAGACGAGACCGAUGAUGACCUCAUAUACCGUUUCAGGAGAGAGGUUAUUAAUGCUGGGGUUUUCCGGGAGUGCAGACGCAGAAGAUUCUUCGAGAAUCCAAUUGAUAAGGCCAAAAGGAAACGCCGAGAAGCGGCUCAAAGAAACCGUAAACGGAAGCACUAUUUUAGAACUCGAGUACCGGAGAAAUCUGAUACUCCAAAUAAGGAAAAGGUUGAUGAUGGUGAAGAAGAGGAUUAUUGGGACCUAUCAGAUGUAGAUCUUCCUUAUACUUGAAAUUCGUAUGUGAAACCCCUUCUCCAUCUCAAACGGGUGCUUUCAUUAUCCUGAGAGACCCAAAUUCAUCAUUCUUGAAUAGCCUCACCAUUGCUUUCUUUAAUUCCAUCUGUUCAAGAAGACUGAGAACAUGGGAACACUGAGAAAGCAGGAACUAGGACAAGGCAAGAUUUGGUUUGGCUUGUUUCACGGUUUUCUUUUGAUGGACGGAACCACUAAAAGCCUCGAUGAAUACAAAGGGACAAAAUAUACAUGUUUAGUACCUUAGUUAAUCAAUUCUGAUGAAUUUGAUAGCAAAAUAGAUGGAAAGUGAUAUGAGAAAAAAUGGGAAUAAAGGAAAUUUUUAUAGAUGGAAAGUGAUAUGAGAAAAAAUGGGAAUAAAGGAAAUUUUUAUUUUUCACUUAUGGUCCUCCAUGUGUCAUAAUGAUAAUUAUAUAAUUUUGGUCACUAAGGUUUCAUUUUGCAAACUAUAUCCCAUGUAUUCAUCUUACUUACCUAUGAGGCUUUUGUAACACUCUGAUUUCCGGAACUGAAAUUGUAAUUUUAAAUUAUAAUUUUAAGAAAAUAUUCUUUUGACUUAUGAAAACUUGGAAUGUGUUUUUUUUUAUAAAUAUACUACCUCUAACUUCAUAAUUAAGUUAUACAACACAUAUGCUCAAUACGAAGAUUGAAAAACUAUAUUUUUGGUUUAAGGCGGAAGUGAAACAAACACACCGGCAUGCAUACACACACAAUCUUAUUAUCUACUACAUCUUAUUCUCUCAGAUAUUAUUAAGGACUAUAAGAUCGAGUAUUCUCUUCUAUGUAGUGAUAACGACAUGGACAAAUUCAAGGAGAAUGAUCAUUCUAUUCAUGUAGUGAUGACGAAUUAUGAAACACAAGUGUAGAAACAAUCCAACUUGAAAUGGGUCAUAUCCAACUUGUUAAUUAAUUAAUUAAUUACU